AGAGUUUGAUCCUGGCUCAGGACGAACGCUGGCGGCGUGCCUAAUACAUGCAAGUCGAGCGCAGGAAACCAGUUGACCCCUUCGGGGUGAUUCUGGCGGAAUGAGCGGCGGACGGGUGAGUAACACGUGGGCAACCUGCCUGUAAGACUGGGAUAACUUCGGGAAACCGGAGCUAAUACCGGAUAGUAUUUCCUUUCUCCUGAUUGGAAAUGGAAAGACGGUUUCGGCUGUCACUUACAGAUGGGCCCGCGGCGCAUUAGCUAGUUGGUGAGGUAACGGCUCACCAAGGCGACGAUGCGUAGCCGACCUGAGAGGGUGAUCGGCCACACUGGGACUGAGACACGGCCCAGACUCCUACGGGAGGCAGCAGUAGGGAAUCUUCCGCAAUGGACGAAAGUCUGACGGAGCAACGCCGCGUGAGUGAUGAAGGUUUUCGGAUCGUAAAACUCUGUUGUUAGGGAAGAACAAGUACAAGAGUAACUGCUUGUACCUUGACGGUACCUAACCAGAAAGCCACGGCUAACUACGUGCCAGCAGCCGCGGGUAAUACGUAGGUGGCAAGCGUUGUCCGGAAUUAUUGGGCGUAAAGCGCGCGCAGGCCGUCCUUUAAGUCUGAUGUGAAAGCCCACGGCUCAACCGUGGAGGGUCAUUGGAAACUGGGGGACUUGAGUGCAGAAGAGAAGAGUGGAAUUCCACGUGUAGCGGUGAAAUGCGUAGAGAUGUGGAGGAACACCAGGUGGCGAAGGCGACUCUUUGGUCUGUAACUGACGCUGAGGCGCGAAAGCGUGGGGAGCAAACAGGAUUAGAUACCCUGGUAGUCCACGCCGUAAACGAUGAGUGCUAAGUGUUAGAGGGUUUCCGCCCUUUAGUGCUGCAGCAAACGCAUUAAGCACUCCGCCUGGGGAGUACGGCCGCAAGGCUGAAACUCAAAGGAAUUGACGGGGGCCCGCACAAGCGGUGGAGCAUGUGGUUUAAUUCGAAGCAACGCGAAGAACCUUACCAGGUCUUGACAUCCUCUGACACUCCUAGAGAUAGGACGUUCCCCUUCGGGGGACAGAGUGACAGGUGGUGCAUGGUUGUCGUCAGCUCGUGUCGUGAGAUGUUGGGUUAAGUCCCGCAACGAGCGCAACCCUUGAUCUUAGUUGCCAGCAUUUAGUUGGGCACUCUAAGGUGACUGCCGGUGACAAACCGGAGGAAGGUGGGGAUGACGUCAAAUCAUCAUGCCCCUUAUGACCUGGGCUACACACGUGCUACAAUGGAUGGUACAAAGGGCAGCAAAACCGCGAGGUCGAGCCAAUCCCAUAAAACCAUUCUCAGUUCGGAUUGUAGGCUGCAACUCGCCUACAUGAAGCUGGAAUCGCUAGUAAUCGCGGAUUAGCAUGCCGCGGUGAAUACGUUCCCGGGCCUUGCACACACCGCCCGUCA
rnacentral:rRNA from 1 species